UGCUGGAAGUUUGUUUUUGCUCUACAGGAUUGAACCGUCUCUGUGUCUUGCUUUGAGCGCUGCUGUUGGGUGCUGUGAGUGGACCUCAAGUAAGCUCCGUUUUUGAAACAUGUGAUGUCAGGAUUAUGCUUUGUGUUGUCCAAAUCUAUGGGAUAUUUUAGGAUGCAGUGACUUAUGAUGAUGUGCGUGUGAACUUCACUGGGGAAGAGUGGGAUUUGCUGGAUCCUUCCCAGAAAAGUCUCUAUGAAGAGGUGAUGCAGGAGACCUACCAGAACAUCACUGCUAUAGGCUACAAGUGGGAAGACCAUCAUAUUGAAGAACAUUGUCAAAGUUCUAGAAGACAUGAAAGGCAUGAAAAAAUUCAUAUUGGAGAGAAACCGUAUGAACGUAACCAAUGUGGUAAAGCCUUUGGAAGUGACAAUCAUCUCCAAGUACAUAAAAGAACAAAUACUGGAGAGAAACCUUAUGAAUGUAAUCAAUGUGGUAAAGCCUUUUCACAACAGAGUAGUCUCCAGUAUCAUAAAAGAACACAUGCUGGACAGAAACCUUAUGAAUGUAAUCAGUGCGGUAAAGCCUUGUCAUGUCAAAGAAGUCUCCAAUAUCAUAAAAGAACACAUACUGGAGAGAAAACUUGUGAAUGUAAUCAGUGUGGUAAAGCUUUUGUAAGACCCAGUCAACUCCAAAAACAUAAAGGAACACAUACUGGGGAGAAACCCUAUGAAUGUAAUCAGUGUGGUAAAGCCUUUGCACAUCACAAUAAUCUCCAAUAUCAUAAAAGAACACAUACUGGAGAGAAACCUUAUGAAUGCGAUCAAUGUGGAAAAGCCUUUGCAGUUCAGUAUAGUCUCCAAUAUCAUAAAAGAAGACAUACUGGAGAGAAACCUUAUGAAUGUAAUGAAUGUGGUGAAACCUUUGCAUUUCAGUAUAGUCUUCAAUACCAUAAAAGUACACAUACUGGAGAGAAACCUUAUGAAUGUAAUCAAUGUGGUAAAGCAUUUCCACAUCACAAUAAUCUCCAAAACCAUAAAAGAAUACAUAGUGGAGAGAAACCUUAUGAAUGUAAUCAAUGUGGUAAAGCUUUUGCAAGAACCGGUCAACUCCAAACCCAUAAAAGAACACAUACUGGAGAGAAACCUCAUGAGUGUGAUCAAUGUGGUAAAGCCUUUGCACUUCAGUAUAAUCUCCAAAAACAUAAAAGAA
rnacentral:lncRNA from 1 species